AACGAACGCUGGCGGCAGGCUUAACACAUGCAAGUCGAACGCAUCCUUCGGGGUGAGUGGCAGACGGGUGAGUAACGCGUGGGAACGUGCCCUUCAGUUCGGGAUAACCCAGGGAAACUUGGGCUAAUACCGGAUACGUGCGAGAGCAGAAAGAUUUAUCGCUGAAGGAUCGGCCCGCGUCUGAUUAGCUAGUUGGUGGGGUAAUGGCCCACCAAGGCGUCGCUCAGUAGCUGGUCGGAGAGGAUGAUCAGCCACAUUGGGACUGAGACACGGCACAAACUCCUACGUGCGGCAGCAGUGGGGAAUAUUGGACAAUGGGUGCAAGCCUGAUCCAGCCAUGCCGCGUGAGUGAUGAAGGCCUUAGGGUUGUAAAGCUCUUUUGUCCGGGACGAUAAUGACGGUACCGGAAGAAGAAGCCCCGGCUAACUUCGUGCCAGCCGCCGCCGUAA
rnacentral:rRNA from 1 species